ACUUCCCGCUUGUCUGUGUCAUAUUUGACAGCAAAUGGGGCGCAAAUGGGGCUCCCAUUUACUGAAAUUCCACGAAUUUUGAUCCCUCCAUUUCAAACAUUGGAUACAGGCCUUCCAGCUAGUUAAUUUGCUAUUGUUUACGUAUGGAUCCCUGUAGGGAUUAAUUUCCGCAAUGUUGGUUUGGUCGCCAGUUCCAAAAAUUCCCCUGAGACAGCUGGAAAUGAAAUUAUGCAGCAUAAACUGUACCGCCUUAUAGUCAAUAAAAAUCCAGUCCGAAAACUUUUAGGCAGAAAAGAGAAAUAUUCUACUUUCCAGAUUCGCCCCUCUAUCGUUGUGCCGGGAUCGCUUUAUUUCACCAUAAAACCUUUUUAGAGCGGGAACACCCACGGCCAAAUAUGAUAACAACUGCUUUUCUUCAUGUAUAUACACCUUUUAUUGAAAAUUAUUCAAAUUAAACCAGACAUAUUCGGAGCAGGAAUUUAUUUCUUUCUCAGGGGCCUGUGCUGCGUAAAAUAAGAAUAUUUUCUUUAUACAAUUGCCUGAAAAUCGCACAAUUAUUUGGCUUUGUAAAAGCUUUAUGGGCUUUCUUGAAAAUUAUUGAAUUUUGGAAAGCUGUUUGAACACGUACAAAAAUGAUUAAAAUUGUUAAUCUUCCAUCCACUCAUAUAUCAAAUCGAAUGUCUGCAAUCGACGUUUUAGGCUGACUUGAGGUUUAGGACUAACAUAAAUUUACUUUCUUGGCA